rnacentral:rRNA from 1 species
UAUCUGAACCUUCGGGGGACGAUAACGGCGUCGAGCGGCGGACGGGUGAGUAAUGCCUAGGAAAUUGCCCUGAUGUGGGGGAUAACCAUUGGAAACGAUGGCUAAUACCGCAUGAUGCCUACGGGCCAAAGAGGGGGACCUUCGGGCCUCUCGCGUCAGGAUAUGCCUAGGUGGGAUUAGCUAGUUGGUGAGGUAAGGGCUCACCAAGGCGACGAUCCCUAGCUGGUCUGAGAGGAUGAUCAGCCACACUGGAACUGAGACACGGUCCAGACUCCUACGGGAGGCAGCAGUGGGGAAUAUUGCACAAUGGGCGCAAGCCUGAUGCAGCCAUGCCGCGUGUAUGAAGAAGGCCUUCGGGUUGUAAAGUACUUUCAGUCGUGAGGAAGGUGGUAGCGUUAAUAGCGCUAUCGUUUGACGUUAGCGACAGAAGAAGCACCGGCUAACUCCGUGCCAGCAGCCGCGGUAAUACGGAGGGUGCGAGCGUUAAUCGGAAUUACUGGGCGUAAAGCGCAUGCAGGUGGUUUGUUAAGUCAGAUGUGAAAGCCCGGGGCUCAACCUCGGAAUAGCAUUUGAAACUGG